CAGACUCAUCCUAGGCAUCCAUUGAGGAGGAAAAGGGCAGAAACGGGACUAUCAAAGGAGCUCUUAGGUCUGAGUGAAAUGCAUUGAGCGCAUCCCAGGGAACCUCUUCUGCUCACGGAAGCUGGAAACCUCAGCGAUGAGCCGAGCCGGAGCAGCGGGAGUGGAGAGAAAGGCAGGACCUCAGAACCACAGCGCCGGUGUCGGCUGUAUAAAUUUUUGUCUCCAACUUAAAUUUAAUCCACUCUGAAAGCUCAACCUACACACUAGCACGGGCAGAGAGACUUCAGGAGAAGUCCUGGUUCAAAAAUCUUCCAUCGCUCUGGCAAUGACAGUCAAAGCAGUUUCCAUUUCAAGGAGCUAAGAGAAUAGGGUGAACCCCUAUGGCGUCCUCCUGCUGUUUGGUCCUAAGACAUUUGUGGGAAGCGAUAAAAGUAGAGGAGGCAAAUGAAACACUGCGGGAUAGGAAAAGAGAGUUGCAAAGGUGGAUAUUGGAGGCUAGCGGCUUGAGGAGGCAGUCUCGAAAGGUGUUUACAUAGCGGCUUCGCCUCCAGAAUGCAGAGCGCUGCGCCAUCCCUCAGCAGUGUGCGCAGGCGCUGAGAGCUCUUCUGUGGGAGCAGAGGUGUUCAAAGCCCACACUGGACACUGGGCGGUGAAUGCGUGGGCAAGAGUUGAACAGCGCGGCAAGGCUUUGAAGACUGAGCUGACACUGAAGCUCAGGUCGCAGAAGGCCGCUUAGUCUGGAUCCAGCUGGAUCUACUGUCUGCUAAAGCUAAAACAC
rnacentral:lncRNA from 1 species